rnacentral:rRNA from 1 species
AACGCGAAGAACCUUACCUGGGUUUGACAUGCACAGGACGCCGGUAGAGAUAUCGGUUCCCUUGUGGCCUGUGUGCAGGUGGUGCAUGGCUGUCGUCAGCUCGUGUCGUGAGAUGUUGGGUUAAGUCCCGCAACGAGCGCAACCCUUGUCUCAUGUUGCCAGCGCGUUAUGGCGGGGACUCGUGGGAGACUGCCGGGGUCAACUCGGAGGAAGGUGGGGAUGACGUCAAGUCAUCAUGCCCCUUAUGUCCAGGGCUUCACACAUGCUACAAUGGCCGGUACAAAGGGCUGCGAUGCCGUGAGGCUUAGCGAAUCCUUGAAAGCCGGUCUCAGUUCGGAUCGGGGUCUGCAACUCGACCCCGUGAAGUCGGAGUCGCUAGUAAUCGCAGAUCAGCACG